GGGCGGUUAGCUCAGCGGCUAGAGCAUUCGCUUCACACGCGAGGGGUCACAGGUUCGAAUCCUGUACUGCCCACCA
rnacentral:tRNA from 1 species